UUUUGAAUGAAGCAAGGUAAAGAGCACAUAAAUUAACUCAGGUCUCUCGGCCUGCUCUCUCUCUUAUGUCUUUCGGCUUUGAUUUUGGGAAAUGGUUCACCACAUAU